UACUUAGGUGGCAAGCGUUGUCCGGAUUUAUUGGGUUUAAAGGGUGCGUAGGCGGCCCUGUAAGUCAGUGCUGAAAUAUCCCAGCUUAACUGGGAGGGUGGCAUUGAUACUGCGGGGCUAGAGUACAGAUGAGGUAGGCGGAAUUGACGGUGUAGCGGUGAAAUGCUUAGAUAUCGUCAAGAACACCUAUAGCGAAGGCAGCUUACUAGGCUGUAACUGACGCUGAGGCACGAAAGUGUGGGGAUCAAACAGG
rnacentral:rRNA from 1 species